rnacentral:tRNA from 1 species
UUAAUUGAAACCAAAAACAAAAUAGAGGUAUAUCAUUGUUAAUGAUAACAUUGGGAGAUAUUCCCCCGAUUAAG